GACGAACGCUGGCGGCGUGCUUAACACAUGCAAGUCGAGCGGAGCGGCGUACGGGUGAGUAACGCGUGAGUAACUGCCCCCCUCUCUGGGAUAACAGUUGGAAACGGCUGCUAAUACCGGAUAGUGGGGGAUGACUCGCGGCCUAUCAGCUUGUUGGUGGGGUAGUGGCCUACCAAGGCGACGACGGGUAGCCGGCCUGAGAGGGCGACCGGCCACAGUGGGCUGGGAAACGGGCCAAGCUCAGACGGGAGGAAGCAGUGGGGAACAUUGCGAGAAGGGGCAAGCGAGGAUGGAGGACCGCCGCGUGCGAGAGGACGGCCAUCGGGUUGGAAACGGCUUUCAGCCAUGAGGCGGUAGUGGAAGAAGAAGCACCGGCUAACUACGUGCAAGCAGCCGCGGUAAUUC
rnacentral:rRNA from 1 species